rnacentral:tRNA from 1 species
AGCUGUUGGUAGUUUAGUGGUAAAACUACAGCCUUCCAAGCUGUUGUCGCGAGUUCGAUUCUCGUCACCCGCUU